AAACAAAUCUGUUCUCAUGCAAACGCUGCCAGUAACAGAAACUAGUAGAAGAUAAAUCUGAGACAUAUCACAUGUGUCGUACAAUUCCUUCCUAGUCAAAUGGAUUUCUGUUUGCCUGAAGUGUUCACAGCUGUUAACUGCAAUUUUUUUACAGGAGUAGACCAUGAACUUGAUGUAACAAAAGUAAUUUGUAAGACUGAGAAAAGAAGUAAUAAAACUCCUUCAGUGAUUCUGUAGGACCUAUUGCAUGGAGGUAUAAGUUCUGAUUAGCUGAGGAUGAUUUUUGUUUGUUUUCUUGUUGAGGAUUCAAUAAUAUUUCAAGUUGGAUUCAGCUGAAGGACCCUUCAGAUUCUGUCAUGUAACUGACUACUAAGAGACUUUAACUCUUUCUCUCCCACUCUACCCCACAUCAUCUGCAGUUGAGCAUUCUUUAGGUCACCCAACUAAGUGGUUCUGGAAGCUAUAAUGAAGGAAUUUCUCCUUCUUCAUUGCAACUUUGAGAACUGCUUUCUCUCCUUGUAGAUUAAUUAUCUUGUUCAGAAUGAAGCUGAACAAAAUAUCCCAAUCUGGAAAGGACUGACAAGGAUCAAGUUCAACUCUGGGAUCCACACAAGACCUUUCAAAAACUAAACCUUAUGCCUGAAAGUAUUGUCCAAACACUUCCCAAACUUCAGCAGCUCGUUUUCACAAUCAGUGGUGUGGGCUGAACAGACUGAGGGACCUCAGAU
ensembl:lncRNA